GCCCGAGUGGUGAAAUCGGUAGACACAACAGAUUUAAAAUCUGUCGCUCUCUUGGGCGUGCCGGUUCAAGUCCGGCCUCGGGCACCA
rnacentral:tRNA from 1 species